rnacentral:rRNA from 1 species
GAGUUUGAUCCUGGCUCAGAAUGAACGCUGGCGGCAUGCCUAACACAUGCAAGUCGAACGAAGGCUUCGGCCUUAGUGGCGCACGGGUGCGUAACGCGUGGGAAUCUGCCCUCAGGUUCGGAAUAACAGCGAGAAAUUGCUGCUAAUACCGGAUGAUAUCGCGAGAUCAAAGAUUUAUCGCCUGAGGAUGAGCCCGCGUAGGAUUAGCUAGUUGGUGUGGUAAAGGCGCACCAAGGCGACGAUCCUUAGCUGGUCUGAGAGGAUGAUCAGCCACACUGGGACUGAGACACGGCCCAGACUCCUACGGGAGGCAGCAGUGGGGAAUAUUGGGACAAUGGGCGAAAGCCUGAUCCAGCAAUGCCGCGUGAGUGAUGAAGGCCUUAGGGUUGUAAAGCUCUUUUACCCGGGAUGAUAAUGACAGUACCGGGAGAAUAAGCUCCGGCUAACUCCGUGCCAGCAGCCGCGGUAAUACGGAGGGAGCUAGCGUUAUUCGGAAUUACUGGGCGUAAAGCGCACGUAGGCGGUUUGUAAGUUAGAGGUGAAAGCCUGGAGCUCAACUCCAGAAUUGCCUUUAAGACUGCAUCGCUUGAAUCCAGGAGAGGUG